rnacentral:sRNA from 1 species
GCGCAUGCGCGCGCCCGGGCGGCGCGGGGUCUGGGUCUGGGGAUGUGGUACCGUCUGCUGGCGGCGGCCGGCAGUAGAGCGGUGGCCGGGCCGCUGGCCUUGUUGUGGCGAUGUGGUGGCCCAGGAGGCGGCAGGACGGCCAAGACCAGCGCGAGGGCCCUGGGCAAGGCCCGACAGUGGUUGUGGCCAGUGAGAAUGUGCAGUGUUGUAUUGCAGAAGAAGCUAGUAAAGCUCAUCUGGUCUCUUGUUUCAGUGCUUCCAGGGGAUCCACUUUCAGAAGCUGACUCUGCAGGCAAGACCGACGUUAUUUUCCCGGUGGCUGUGUUCAAAACCACCCAAAGGUACCUGUCUUUCAUCCACCAUCAUUAACAGCAUGAGGUUUACAGGAACUGAGUGGCUUCCUCAGAGUGUGACUUCUACAGUGAGUGACCAGGGGGCGAGGAUCCAGACAACUCAGGGCACAUCCCACUCCACCCCGCCCCAUCCUACCCCUU